UGGGGAAUAUUGCGCAAUGGGGGAAACCCUGACGCAGCAACGCCGCGUGAAGGACGACGGUCUUCGGAUUGUAAACUUCAACAAGCAGGGAAGAAUAAUGACGGUACCUGACUGGAAGCCACGGCUAACUACGUGCCAGCAGCCGCGGUAAUACGUAGGUGGCAAGCGUUGUCCGGAUUUACUGGGUGUAAAGGGCGUGUAGGCGGGUGAUUAAGUCAGUGGUGAAAUACCGAAGCUCAACUUCGGGGCUGCCAUUGAAACUGGUCAUCUUGAGUGCAGGAGAGGAAAGUGGAAUUCCUAGUGUAGCGGUGAAAUGCGUAGAGAUUAGGAGGAACACCAGUGGCGAAGGCGACUUUCUGGACUGUAACUGACGCUGAGGCGCGAAAGUGUGGGGAGCAAACA
rnacentral:rRNA from 1 species